ACUUUUGUUUUUCUCAGCCAAAGAAAAAUAUUAUUACUAGUGUUCUGGGGACCCUGACCGGGGACGGACAGGGGACCUAGGACAGGGCUGGACCCACCAAAAGU
rnacentral:pre_miRNA from 1 species